UACAGAGGUCCCAAGCGUUGUUCGGAUUGACUGGGCGUAAAGGGCGUGUAGGCGGUUGGUCAAGUCGGGUGUGAAAGCCUGAGGCUCAGCCUCAGAAGUGCAUCCGAAACUAGCCAGCUAGAGCGCGAUAGAGGAGGGUGGAAUUCCUGGUGUAGCGGUGAAAUGCGUAGAUAUCAGGAGGAACACCGGCGGCGAAGGCGGCCCUCUGGCUCGUUGCUGACGCUGAGACGCGAAAGCGUGGGGAGCAAACAGG
rnacentral:rRNA from 1 species